GAAAUGCGAUAAGUAAUGUGAAUUGCAGAAUUCAGUGAAACAUCGAAUCUUUGAACGCACAUUGCGCCCGCCAGUAUUCUGGCGGGCAUGCCUGUCCGAGCGUCAUUUCAACCAUCAAGCCUCCGGGCUUGUGUUGGGGACCUGCGGCUGCCCGCAGGCCCUGAAAACCAGUGGCGGGCUCGCUGUCACACCGAGCGUAGUAGCAAUCACCUCGCUCAGGGCGUGCUGCGGGUUCCGGCCGUUAAACAGCCUUACAAAACCCAAGGUUGACCUCGGAUCAGGUAGGAAGACCCGCUGAACUUAAGC
rnacentral:misc_RNA from 1 species